GUUUUCUUUUUUUUUUUUAACGUAAUAAUAUCUUUAUUGCAUAUUUGCUGUAACAAUUUACUAAGUUUACAGCUUGUAACUUAGUAUCCCUCAUGUUAGUUUACCUAAUAGUUUAGGGAAGCACUAUUUGGUAAGAUAUAACUUAUUCAUAAUAUUAGUAUCUAUAGUACAAUUGAUUUCACAAUUAUAUAAAAUAAAUAUUGUGAAUACACAUACAGAUCUUUGUUAAAUAAUUUC
rnacentral:lncRNA from 1 species